rnacentral:lncRNA from 12 species
UUAAAAAGCCCAGUCUGGACCUCGGUUUCAACCUGCGUCAACCAGAAAGUCAGAACUGACACUGCCAAGUAUGACCUGUCUCACGAGGAAGAAUUACCACCAGGCUGAAGCAGUUCACCUCCUCUUCCCUCUCUCACAUAAUCCCUUCGACUCUGGACUAACAGUGGACAAGAGGGACUCGUUACAUCUUUGGCAGAUGCGUCGGACUUCUAUAACUUGGGAUGAACUGAAUGACCAACAUCUGGGGACCUAGUUCAAGGAUAGAAUUCUUUAGGGCUCAUGCCUGUAAGGAAAAGGCUCUUUGGGAACUGCCAUUAAGAAUAACCUGGGGGGGAAAAGAAAAAGAAUAACCUGGGGGAGAGAGAGGUAAACUAUGGAUUUUAUCAGCAGCUCUCAAAUCAUGACUUCAUCAAUCCUGAUCUGUAACUUCGUUGGGCUCUAUUUACCCAACUCUGCUUAAGGGUUAGUGUUGGCCCCUUUGACAUGGGGGCUUGGACCAUGUAGAGCAAGUGCAGGCUGCAGAGCAAACCUCACAGGAGGUACUCCUCAUAAUCCUAGAUGACAAAGACCCUGCCUUCAAUCACCCCAUAUGCUUGGCUGCUACUACCCACCCUCCUCUUGAAGUCAAGACAAGGAAGCUGUCCAGUGAGAAGGAAAAGAACUUACGGGCUUGGAGUUGAAGCAAAAAGUCCAGGAAAGUUUCCGAGGCCUCUCCCUGCCUUAGCAGUAUCAAUGGAGAAGAGUUCCUUUGGCUAUCAGAGGGUAAGGUGGGGAAAGAUCGAUUUUACCCAGCAUCUCCCAAGAGGAGUCCCAGCGUAUGUGGGAAGGUCUAAGAACACCCUGGUAUCUUCACAGGAGGAAGAAUCCACCCAGGAAAGAAAAGCACCUGGUAGAAAUGCCACAGCACGACAUGCCAUGAGAAGGUGCUCCCACCACUUCUCUAAUGUUUCCUUGGCUCCACCAGGGACCAGAGGUACGAUCAUGAAAACAACAGUAAAAGAAAUAACACUAACUCAGUGA